rnacentral:rRNA from 1 species
UUAGUGGGGGACAACAUCUCGAAAGGGAUGCUAAUACCGCAUACGUCCUACGGGAGAAAGCAGGGGAUCUUCGGACCUUGCGCUAAUAGAUGAGCCUAAGUCGGAUUAGCUAGUUGGUGGGGUAAAGGCCUACCAAGGCGACGAUCUGUAGCGGGUCUGAGAGGAUGAUCCGCCACACUGGGACUGAGACACGGCCCAGACUCCUACGGAAGGCAGCAGUGGGGAAUAUUGGACAAUGGGGGGAACCCUGAUCCAGCCAUGCCGCGUGUGUGAAGAAGGCCUUAUGGUUGUAAAGCACUUUAAGCGAGGAGGAGGCUACUUUAGUUAAUACCUAGAGAUAGUGGACGUUACUCGCAGAAUAAGCACCGGCUAACUCUGUGCCAGCAGCCGCGGUAAUACAGAGGGUGCGAGCGUUAAUCGGAUUUACUGGGCGUAAAGCGUGCGUAGGCGGCUUAUUAAGUCGGAUGUGAAAUCCCCGAGCUUAACUUGGGAAUUGCAUUCGAUACUGGUGAGCUAGAGUAUGGGAGAGGAUGGUAGAAUUCCAGGUGUAGCGGUGAAAUGCGUAGAGAUCUGGAGGAAUACCGAUGGCGAAAGCAGCCAUCUGGCCUAAUACUGACGCUGACGUACGAAAGCAUGGGGAGCAAACAGGAUUAGAUACCCUGGUAGUCCAUGCCGUAAACGAUGUCUACUAGCCGUUGGGGCCUUUGAGGCUUUAGUGGCGCAGCUAACGCGAUAAGUAGACCGCCUGGGGAGUACGGUCGCAAGACUAAAACUCAAAUGAAUUGACGGGGGCCCGCACAAGCGGUGGAGCAUGUGGUUUAAUUCGAUGCAACGCGAAGAACCUUACCUGGCCUUGACAUACUAGAAACUCUCCAGAGAUGGAUUGGUGCCUUCGGGAAUCUAAAUACAGGUGCUGCAUGGCUGUCGUCAGCUCGUGUCGUGAGAUGUUGGGUUAAGUCCCGCAACGAGCGCAACCCUUUUCCUUACUUGCCAGCAUUUCGGAUGGGAACUUUAAGGAUACUGCCAGUGACAAACUGGAGGAAGGCGGGGACGACGUCAAGUCAUCAUGGCCCUUACGGCCAGGGCUACACACGUGCUACAAUGGUCGGUACAAAGGGUUGCUACACAGCGAUGUGAUGCUAAUCUCAAAA